GAUGAACGCUAGCGGCAGGCCUAACACAUGCAAGUCGAGGGGUAGAGUUCUUCGGGACUUGAGACCGGCGCACGGGUGCGUAACGCGUAUGCAAUCUACCUUAUACAGGGGAAUAGCCCAGAGAAAUUUGGAUUAAUGCCCCAUAGUGUUAUCGAAUCGCAUGGUUUGAUAACUAAAGUUCCAACGGUAUAAGAUGAGCAUGCGUCCCAUUAGUUAGUUGGUAAGGUAACGGCUUACCAAGACAAUGAUGGGUAGGGGUCCUGAGAGGGAGAUCCCCCACACUGGUACUGAGACACGGACCAGACUCCUACGGGAGGCAGCAGUGAGGAAUAUUGGUCAAUGGGCGCAAGCCUGAACCAGCCAUGCCGCGUGCAGGAAGACGGUCCUAUGGAUUGUAAACUG
rnacentral:rRNA from 1 species